rnacentral:rRNA from 1 species
UACGUAUGGAGCAAGCGUUAUCCGGAUUUACUGGGUGUAAAGGGAGCGUAGGCGGUUAUGCAAGUCAGAUGUGAAAGCCCGGGGCUUAACCCCGGGACUGCAUUUGAAACUGUGUAACUAGAGUGUCGGAGAGGUAAGUGGAAUUCCUAGUGUAGCGGUGAAAUGCGUAGAUAUUAGGAGGAACACCAGUGGCGAAGGCGGCUUACUGGACGAUAACUGACGCUGAGGCUCGAAAGCGUGGGGAGCAAACAGGAUUAGAUACC